GACAGAGGUGCCGAGCGUUAGGCGGAAUCACUGGGCUUAAAGCGUGUGUAGGCGGGUCGUUAAGUACCUUGUGAAAUCCCCCGGCUCAACCGGGGAACUGCUGGGUAUACUGGCGAUCUUGAGCCACCUAGGGGCAGUCGGAACAAGUGAUGGAGCGGUGAAAUGCGUAGAUAUCACUUGGAACGCCAAUGGUGAAAACAGACUGCUGGGGGUGUGCUGACGCUGAGACACGAAAGCCAGGGGAGCGAACGGG
rnacentral:rRNA from 1 species